GAGUGUGUGAGCCGCUUAAAUAAUUCGAAGAGAAUCAGAAGCCCUGUGCAAGCAAUAUCCGACUCCAUGAGUGCUAUGGCAUUGCGUCCGGGCCCAAACAUACAACUGGAAAGUCCUGGAUACCAGCCCAGCAUGUCACAACCUUUUAUGCCCUUCAUCGUUUACCCCAUUGACUACCGAAGACGAUGACCAUGAUGGAGCUGCUGCUGCCAUCGGCCCACCAACGAGUGUCGUUCCUCUUGACAUGGGAAUAAACUACUGCAGAAGGCGUUGGAGGAUGCAGGUGUCUUGACUACGCAUCCACCUGUGGAAGAUGAUCAUGAUGAGAAUAUCCGUAGGGUCAUAGAAGUUGAUGGGAUACAUGGCAAAAGGAUCAUAUUCCAGAAGCGCUGGGAAGAAACUCUAGAUUAUUAAUAAUAAUAAUACAAAGUGUGUGCUUCUUUCUGCAUAUUACACAUUUUUGUAUCGAAGAUUGUACUUUUUAGAACAGUUUUUUCUUUUGUACCUAAAUGUCUAUGGCUGCUCUAGGCACCUUCAAUAUUCUUCUAAAAUUAUUACUCUCAUACGUGAGUAAUUUGAAUAACAUUGAUGUGCAUACAACUUUUUGUGUAAGCUUUUAGUUGAAUUGAGCACGGAGAAAUCUAAAAUAAUUAUGAAUGCUAAAAAAGUGUCGCAAAGUGAAAAUAGUUGAAUGUUUUACAUCUGCUCGAAUAUUUUUAUUCUGCUUUUUUUAACCACUCGAGCAAGCAGCCAGAUAAAUAAACAACAGAGCUGCGUCCAUAUUAAAAUAUGUUUUGAUCUACUUUGUAAGAGCGAAAUAUCUAUGCCUUACUUUAACAUGUGGAAUACUUUGGUCAAUAUUUUCAUGCUAAGAGCAGCCUUAGGGAUAAAAGCAUAUUGCUAUGUUUUCAUGCGUAUUAACUUUGCUUUGUAUUUGUGUAUUUGUGUAUUUUUCUUUUUUUUUUUUCACUGUGUAAUAAAAUUUUUAAAACGCAUGUGGCUCGAGUUUUCAAAAUAAACCAGCAGACUUGACCAUCGAGGUAAGGAUGAAGGUAAUGGUGGUCCUAAGGGACCUCAAUUUUCUCGGGCCAGCUUUACUUAGGACAGUAACCCAUCUCCUCUCCGUAACUGUCUUACCUUCUCCAACCCUCUAUGGCAACAGUUUUCCGUCCAAAGGUCUAAAAAGUAAUUUCAAAAAAUGAAAACAUGGCUGACUCACAUUGUGAUAGCCCUGUAGUCUUGCCGAGACAGUAAAUUUACACCAUAGGAUAUUAUCUGUCUGCUGGUACAGAUAAUGGCCAGAUAAAGCUAGUCAUACUGCUAUGAUUUUUUUUUUCUGUCGUAAACGACAAGUUUGUCAUCCGCAUACUGCUUCAGUCAUGUGCGAAAUAGUGCCAGUCUACCUGACACGUGAUUACGAGAUUUCAGCGGAAUGAUGAGUGAUGAGGUCAGCACUAAUAGAGCGCUGACCUCACUAACACGUGUCUCCGUACUAGCCAAGUGCAGCUGAGGAACAAGUCCAUGAGGAGGAUAGACCAAGGAGACCGCAGACCAGGAGUGUCUACGUUUCCCCCAAUAAGGUAGACAUUGCCAAGCUCCGUAAAAGAAAUAUUUUGAGCAGUGAAGGCGAUGUGAC
rnacentral:lncRNA from 1 species